UACAGAGGCCACGAGCGUUAGGCGGAAUCACUGGGCUUAAAGCGUGUGUAGGCGGAUCGGUAAGUACCUUGUGAAAUCCCACGACUCAAUCGUGGAACUGCUUGGUAUACUGCCAGUCUUGAGGUACUCAGGGGCGAGCGGAACAGAUGGUGUAGCGGUGAAAUGCGUAGAUAUUGCUCGGAAGGCCAACGGCGAAGGCAGGUUACUGGUACGCAACUGACGCUGAGGCACGAAAGCGUGGGGAGCAAACAGG
rnacentral:rRNA from 1 species